GUACUAAACGUUGGAACAAUCAGCAUGAACCACUGCAAUGUUCAUCUCAGCAGAAUAAUCCUGAGGAACUGAGCUAUGCAACACUGGAGCUGAAGAAGGCCAGAACCAAACCACGUAGGAAAAAUGAAAAGCAGGAAAAAACUGUUCUAUAUUCUGACAUUAGAACAGUAAGACAAUGAACUGUGUAUCUGUAUCUUCAAUAUUUUCUAAACCCAUGAAUUAUUCAUGCUGCUGCCUGCAAAAUGACUGGUAAUAUACAGAUUCCCUGGGUUAUUUUCCCUCCUAACAGACACCGAAUGAAACAAAACCUACUUAACACAACCUAAAUAAAUACUCUUGUUUUAGCAUCAUUAGGUUCUUAGCAUCUUUCACAUGUGAAUUAAUAAAAUACUGCAUACAAAACAAGCUGUUAUUGUUGAUUUUAUGGCCAGUAAUCUUGUGGUCCUCGUGAUCAUCUGCUUAGUAUUUUUCCUGUGUUCCUACAACAUGCUAGUCGCUGUUUCUUCAUCCAGACUGUGAUCUGUUUUUAUAAUAAAAUACUGCAUUGUAUUGAUUCUACAUAAAAGGUUGGUGUUUGAUGAUUUAAUUUGUAUUGAUAUUUAGUUUUGGUUUUAGUGCAUGUGAGUAAACUUUGUUAACCUUGUAUAUACAUUAUUUUCAUUUACAUAGAGUGCAUUUUACAUGUUUCUGCUUUACUGCAUGGAUUGCACAUCUGUACUGUUUUUAAUUCUAUUUAAUGUAUUUUUUUUGUGUUGUGAUACUGAACCUUUUCUCUGCCAUGAUCUCAUCAGGAUCUACACCAUAAACAAAGCAUAUUGAAAUAAUGCACAUGGUAAUGAAGUAUUUGUGCAACAAUUAAAGCAAUUAUUCUGGAAAAAUGUAUUAGAGUGUUUAGUUCAUUAAACUUGCAUUGAAAUGAAUAAUGCUUUUUGAUAGAAUUAGGACCUCUGUACAGGUUACGAAAUGUUGAAAUAUUUUUGUUUGCAGUUUGAUUGUGAUGUCUUUGAAUUAUUUAACUGUUUUGUAUACUCAUGUGAUUCUAGCUCUAUAAACAGGAGUAAUGCAUGUUGAGGACAUAUAAAUAAAUUCUGCCUGUAUGUCUGUAUCUACCACAAUUAAUAAAUACAAAUAAAUGCA